AUGUCGGGGACGAGUCCUAGCAGCUAUGGGGAAGCUGGGUGUGAGACCACCCAUGUCAGAAGAGCUCACACAUCCUCCUCUCUUGCAGCCAAAACAACACCCCCAUCUGUCUAUCCACUGGCCCCUGCAUGUAGUGAUACAACUGGAUCCUCGGUGACUCUGGGAUGCCUGGUCAAGGGCUAUUUCCCUGAGCCAGUGACCGUCACCUGGAACUCUGGAUCACUGUCCAGCGGUGUGCACACCUUCCCAGCUGUCCUGCAGUCUGGACUCUACUCCCUCAGCAGCUCAGUGACUGUACCCUCCAGCACCUGGCCCAGCCAGACCAUCACCUGCAACGUAGCCCACCCGGCCAGCAGCACCAAGGUGGACAAGAUCGUUGAACCCAGAGACACCACUGAAACUAAACCUCAACCCACAUGUCCUACAUGUCCCACAUGCCCAGCUCCUGACCUUUCUGCUGGACCAUCCGUCUAUAUCUUCCCCCCAAAGACCAAGGAUAUACUCUUGAUCUCCCAGAAUGCCAAGGUCACAUGUGUGGUGGUGGACGUGAGCCAGGAAGACCCAGAGGUCCAGUUCAGAUGGUUUGUGGACAACAAAGAAGUGCACACAGCUCAGACGCAGCCCCGUGAGCAACAAUACAACAGUACCUUGAGGGUGGUCAGUGCCCUCCCCAUAGAGCACCAGGACUGGAUGAAGGGCAAGGAGUUCAAAUGCAAGGUCACCAACAAAGCGCUCCCAGAGCCCAUCGAGAGAACCAUCUCAAAACCCAGAGGAGCAGUCAGAGUACCACAGGUAUACGUCUUGCCUCCACCAGCAGAGCAGAUGGCCAAGAAAGAUGUCAGUUUGACCUGCAUGGUCACAGGCUUCCUACCUGAGGACAUUGAUGUGGAGUGGACCAGCAACGGGCGCAUGGAACAGAACUACAAGAACACCAAACCCGUCCUGGAUUCUGACGGUUCUUACUUCCUAUACAGCAAGCUCAAUGUCCCAAAGAGCACAUGGGAACGAGGAGAUAUUUUCCUCUGCUCAGUGGUACACUUGGGUCUGCACAACCACCACAUGACGAAGAGCAUCUCCCGUACUCUGGGUAAAUGAACACAGCACCCAGAAAGGCUGGAACUGGAUGAUUCCUGUGCUGAGGCCCAGGACGGGGAGCUGGACGGGCUCUGGACGACCAUCACCAUCUUCAUCAGCCUCUUCCUGCUCAGCGUGUGCUACAGCGCCUCUGUCACACUCUUCAAGGUAAAGUGGAUCUUCUCCUCAGUGGUGGAGCUGAAGCAGAAAAUCUCCCCUGACUACAGAAACAUGAUUGGGCAGGGGGCCUAG